rnacentral:rRNA from 1 species
GACGUAGGGGACGAGCGUUGUCCGGAUUCAUUGGGCGUAAAGCGCGCGUAGGCGGUUCGGUAAGUCGGGUGUGAAAACACGAGGCUCAACCUCGUGCGUGCAUCCGAUACUGCCGGACUAGAGGUAGGUAGGGGAGAUCGGAAUUCCUGGUGUAGCGGUGAAAUGCGCAGAUAUCGGGAGGAACACCAAUGGCGAAGGCAGCUCGCUGGGACGUUACUGACGCUGAGACGCGAAAGCGUGGGGAGCAAACAGG